rnacentral:rRNA from 1 species
CACGUAGGGGGCGAGCGUUGUCCGGAUUUAUUGGGCGUAAAGAGCUCGUAGGCGGCUGAGUAAGUCGGGCGUGAAAUUUCAGGGCUCAACCCUGAAACGCCGCUCGAUACUGCUCUGGCUAGAGUCCGGUAGGGGAGCGUGGAAUUCCCAGUGUAGCGGUGAAAUGCGCAGAUAUUGGGAGGAACACCGGCGGCGAAGGCGGCGCUCUGGGCCGAGACUGACGCUGAGGAGCGAAAGCGUGGGGAGCAAACAGG